rnacentral:rRNA from 1 species
UACAGAGGUCCCAAGCGUUGUUCGGAUUCACUGGGCGUAAAGGGUGCGUAGGUGGCGGGGCAAGUCUGAUGUGAAAUCUCCGAGCUUAACUCGGAAACUGCAUCGGAUACUGCUUCGCUCGAGGGUUGGAGGGGGGACUGGAAUACUUGGUGUAGCAGUGAAAUGCGUAGAUAUCAAGUGGAACACCAGUGGCGAAGGCGAGUCCCUGGACAACUCCUGACACUGAGGCACGAAAGCUAGGGGAGCAAACAGG